rnacentral:misc_RNA from 1 species
GAAAUGCGAUACGUAAUGUGAAUUGCAGCUCCGCGAAUCAUCUAAUCUUUGAACGCAAAUUGCGCCCUUUGGCAUUCCAGAGGGCAUGUCUGUUUGAGAACCUUGACGUCCCUCACAACUCCCCAACUUCCCUUUCAGGGGUCGGUGAAUUGUGGAUAUGGGCCCUCCUCGCCUUCACGGGUGGGGUGGCCUGAAAUUAAAGAUCGGCUCAUGCCUGUCCAUGACCAAGACGUGAUAGUAUGGGUAACCAUUCCAGACGUCGAAACCCGUGGACUAGCACAAAGCGUCGACUCAACCGUCGCCAGGCGCGUCGCUCCCUGCGAGUGGUGCGAAGACCUGAACUCCUGGUCUCAAAUCAGACAAGACUACCCGCUGAACUUAA